UGUAGUUGAUACAUGUCCUGUGUCAUAUUUAAUAUUAUAGUUUUCUUUCAUUGGGUUCUCUGGCAUAAACUAUUCUCUACCCUCUUUGAUUCUCUUCCUAUUUCGCUGAGUAUAUUUUGAUCUGUAUGUGUGGGUCCAAAGUUUGUCUUUACAAUCAUGGAGAAGUAUAAAGCUGCUUAACCUGGUGGCAUGUUAAAAUGAUCUAGUGCAACCUUGUUACACCUUCUAUUACUGGUUGCACGACUAAACUCCUUAAGUACUGCAGGCCCAGUAUGACCAUUCAGAUAAGUUUGGAAAUCUUCAAGGGAAACCAAAUGAUAGCUGAAGUAACUCAUUUCAGGUAUAAUACUGCAAGCUGCAUUUUGUUUGUCAAGUAAGAGUGAAUUUGCGGUCUUUUCUCUUCUAAGCUGCCCUGAAGGAGGAACACCGGCAGAGCAAGAUGGGGUAACACUACUAUUUGAUGCAUAAGUUUGAAGCUCAGUUCCGUCCUGGUCUGUGAAGAAGGCAAAAUGAGGUAGCAUUGCUUUUGUCAAAGGAUGAUUCCUCUAUGGAUGCAGACACCAAUGCCACGAGAGGUGAAGAUGCUUCAUUGCUGGUUUAUGUAAGUGGUUCACAUGAGUAUGAGUAUCUUUGAUCUCCGGAACAAUGAGGAGUCUCAAAUUAGCAAGCACACACAGAAAAGUAUCCAAGCUGAUGAACCUGGAAUAUGUUAUAUUUGUCAGGCCAUAUAAUGGUGGCAAACCCUUGAGAAGAACUGAAGUGUUGUCCGUCCAUAUAAUGGUCUACUUGCCAAUUGCAAAUGUCAAUGCAGAUGGCCAAAUGAUAAUGAAGAGAAGCAGUAGCAUCAGAAGAUGUUCCGAAGCUGCAAUAUCAUUGACAUGGACGCUUUGUCAGAUACGCAAGACAACCAACUGGGUCAUUGUAUUUAGCAAAAAAAA